AUAGCCGUGUAGUAUUUAGGAGACUGCUCGCCUAGCAUGUGGAAGAUUCUGGGUUUGAUUCAGCACUGGAUAAACAGUGUGAUGGCCCACACCUAUAAUCCCAAGAUUACAGAUAGGGGCAGGAGGAUCAGGAAUUUAAGGCCAACCUGGGCUACACUAGACUGUCUUAAAAAACAAAGGGCUAGGGGUUGGGGAUUUAGCUCAGUGGUAGAGCGCUUGCCUAGCAAGCGCAAGGCCCUGGGUUCGGUCCCCAGCUCCGAGAAAAAAAAAAAAAAAA
rnacentral:lncRNA from 1 species